GCUCCUCUAGCUCAGUUGGUAGAGCAACGGACUCUUAAUCCGCAGGUCCUGGGUUCAAAUCCCAGGGGGAGCACUA
rnacentral:tRNA from 1 species